CUCCCCUCCGCCGUCUCCCAGGAAACGCAGGCGCGGCAGGUCUCGGAUGCAGAGGUUCCUCGGGGACUUCCCUGCACUGGAGGCUCUAGGAUGACUAUUUGAUCUGCAGAUUCCUGGGCCCACUCCAGAGCUGGCCAGCAAGCACGCCCGAGAGCGCCCUGAGGAGUUCGAGAAGCACCGCCCUUGCGGGUCCUCAGAGGGCGCCCCGGGACGGACGGGAGCUUCCCUAGCCUGGCCCACAGCAGCCAGCGACAAACCCGACUUCCGGCGCUACUGGAGUCUGUUUCCGUCUCGGGCCUCAGUCCUGCGUCUUGGGGUCCGCUCCGCAUUUGACCGCCUGCAGGGGACCUCAAGGCCUGUGCCGGGGUGGCGGCCCGAGCUGAGUUGCACACAGCGCAUGGAUUUAAAGGGAACCGACUGGGCUCGGCGAUUUCCCACAUGCAGAAUCUCCACCCGAAAGAAAUCACCCCCAAAUUCCAUUUAACGGGAACUGAAAUAGGGUAGCACCGCUACAGGGAGGAUAAGAUUCUAAGUUCGGUUUCAGAGACGUGUCGACGGUGGUGCCAGCUGCUGUUUGGAAAUGCCGCCUCCUGCCCUACUCCGCAGUGCCUUCAUCCUUCCGUGACAGCAUUGUUCUGCCCAGCGAUCUCGAGGUAUCAGCGGCACUUUCCCAUUGAGAAGCCGAAGAGAGGGACCUCAGGGCAACCCAGUGCGUGCUCAGUGCGGGCCAGCGUUCCCGCCAGGGGCUGAGAACUCGCACCUCCGGUAGGUCACAGUCUGCCCAAGCCACAAAUGCUAUGAAGUUGGGUUCACAUGUUUUCUUGACGUUAGAAGAACAUCAUUCCACUUGGCAAUCUUCGCCCCAACAUGAGUGGCAGAGAGAGCAGCUCUCCAAAGCAAAGAUUUGAUUUGGAGAUGACUUAGAGAUUGUGAUCCCUGAUGCGCAUGCUGUGGUGGACCAUGGUGACAAGGGUACUAAAGGUAAAAUGAGAAGGGGCACAUCAGUUGUUUGGAAAUGCGUGCCCUUGAUUGCAAGGAUAAACAAGGGAAAUUUCUGUCUGAGCCCGAGGGCAGUUAUUGAAUGGUUGCCCGCAGGUAUUUUUGUUCAAGGUUGCAAUUUUUGCUGAGUCUCCUGUGAUAGUUCCUGUUAGAAGGCAAAUAUACAUGAGAA
rnacentral:lncRNA from 1 species